rnacentral:rRNA from 1 species
UACGAAGGGGGCUAGCGUUGCUCGGAAUCACUGGGCGUAAAGCGCACGUAGGCGGCUUUCUAAGUCAGGGGUGAAAUCCUGGAGCUCAACUCCAGAACUGCCUUUGAUACUGGAGAGCUCGAGUCCGGAAGAGGUGAGUGGAACUCCGAGUGUAGAGGUGAAAUUCGUAGAUAUUCGGAAGAACACCAGUGGCGAAGGCGGCUCACUGGGCCGGUACUGACGCUGAGGUGCGAAAGCGUGGGGAGCAAACAGG